rnacentral:miRNA from 1 species
ACUUUAGAGAUCCCCUAUGGAGGGCUUCACCCUCCCUGGGAAGCAGAGGAGGGAAGGGGUGGGAG